UACGAAGGGGGCUAGCGUUGUUCGGAAUCACUGGGCGUAAAGGGCGCGUAGGCGGCUUUAUAAGUCGGGGGUGAAAGCCUGUGGCUCAACCACAGAAUUGCCUUCGAUACUGUAGAGCUUGAGACCGGAAGAGGUAAGUGGAAACUGCGAGUGUAGAGGUGAAAUUCGUAGAUAUUCGCAAGAACACCAGUGGCGAAGGCGGCUUACUGGUCC
rnacentral:rRNA from 1 species